rnacentral:lncRNA from 1 species
GUAAGAGACAAGCCAUACUCUCACGUGUUCCUAAGCAUAUCUCGUGUGUUCCAGCAUGCUUGUGGGGCCCAUCACAAAGACUAUGUCUAGAGAGCACUGUAUUCCCGGGUCCCCCCACAAGCUCUAAGAAAGGAUGUUCCUGCUUCCAGCCCAUGAUAGCCCUGUCUUUUACAAAAGUAAAAGCCACACUGGUUUACACAGUAAAACUUGCCAUAUUUAUUAGCUGCUUUUCUCAUCACUGGGACAAAGUAUCUGACAAAAUCAACUGAAGGAAGAAAGAGGUUGCUUGUGUUCACAGUGUGAAGAGAUGCGGGCCAUCCUGGUCUAGGAAGCAAGGUCAUUGUGCCCUUAGUGAAAAAUCAGAGCAGUAAAUGCUGCUGUUUAGGUGGCUUUUUGCUUUUGUCCUCUUCUUUAAACCUUGCCUAUUGUCAGAGUAGAUCUUCCCUCAUUAGUUAAACCUCCCUGCAGAUACCUUCCCAGACACAUCCAGAGGUAACCGGAAGUCUCUCCAGGAUGGUGAUGGAGAUUAAUCAUCACAGGUCUACUUCUGGUCAACUGAAUACUAAUGCAUGUCACUGUUAACAACAGUAUUCAGACCCUCAAAGGUUCAUAACCAUCUUUUAAACUAAAGUGUAUCACAUUCUUACAUCUGUAAGAGGUGCCCCCCCCCAGGCUUAACAGAUCUAAAACCAUUGCUCAGAAGCCUAAAAUCCCUGUAUACCUGUAACUUAUUCUUAACUGUAAUCCCUUACAAAAACCAGGUCCUAUACGUCUAAUAUACAAGGGCAUGGAAUUCUGUUACAAAAUGGAAGAACUGGGGUAUAGCAAAGAAAGGUCAGACCAAGAACAAGAGGCCUAUCACAAAGACUAUGUCUAGACCAAUUGAUACCAAUUUUCUGUAUUAGUUGCUUUUCUCUGGCUGUGACAAAAUGCCUAUCAAAAGCAAAUUAAAGAGCUGGUUGUUUUGACUCAAAUGCACACUGAAGGGAUAUGGUUCAUCACGGUGCUGUAGGCAUGGUGGGAAAAGCAUGAGGUAACUGACCAUGCUGAGUCAGCAGAUCAACAUUGACUCAGAUCAGUGUGGGUGCUCAGCUUCCUUGGUCCUUUAUCCUUUAUAUUCGGUCUAGGACCCAAGUCCAUGGCAUGGUACUGCCAGCAUUCAGGGUGGGUCUUCAAUUCAGUCUCUGGAGAAUACCUUCACCGAUAUAACCGCAGGUGCAUCUCCUAGGUGAUUUCAAAUCGGGUCAAGUUAAUACAAAAUUUGUGCCAAAUAACUGCAAAUGCCUUCUCACUUGCAGAGCCCUGUUGAGGUGAGACCAGCUAUGCCCUUAGCAUGCUUGUCUUCUGUAGUUCUUUUCAUAAGUAAAAAUUAUGUCUACUUACGGAAUGCCACAUGGUGUAGAGUGUUAUACAUUGUAGGAUGACUAAAACUGUUCCACCGUUGUGUCACAGUGCUCACUGUUGUGUCACAAUGCUCCACUGUGAUGUCAUAGUGCUCCACUGUGUUGUCACAUCUAUAUUCACAAACAUGCUUAUUGUUUUUCUUGUAAUGGGAGCUUUUUAAAUAAAAAGAUUUAUUUAUUUUAUGUAUGUGAGUACAUUGGUGCUGUCUUCAGACAUACCAGAAGAAGACAUCAGGUCCCAUUACACAUGGUUUUGAGUCACCAGGUGGUUGCCAGGAACUGAAGUCAAGACCUCUAGAAAAGCAGUUAAUAUUCUUAACUGCUGAGCCAUCUCUCCAGCCCCAUGAGAACAUUUUAAAUUGACUUUUAAAAGCAAUUUUCAAGUAUAUAAAAUAUUGCUGUUAACUGUAGCAACCAGGAUGUACAGUAUGUGUGUUGAAUUUAAUCAUCCUGUCUGAAGUUAUGUGUGCUUUUUAGCCCAUUAAUAUUUGGUGCACCGUUUGUGUUUAUUCUUGCUGGACAUGCCAGUGCGUGGGCCAGUUGCAUACAUUCUUCUCACAUUCUCCAACAUGCCAAACCAUCCAUGCUGGUCUAUGUUCUUACUCCUGCAUUUUAGAUAUUGAGAUAGAGCCUGUGCCUCUUACUGCCAGGAUUCUGUCUAUCUUUGCAGACGUGUCCCCGUGGAUUCAAGCUACAAGCUAGUACUUACCCACACAAAGCCCAUCCAACCAACCCCAUGUCCCUCCCAGCCCAGCCCACUCUCUCCAUCCUCUUUCAGACAAAACUGUGUUCCAGGAGCAAUACUCAGGCACCUCAGCAGACACAGCCAAGGCCAAAUCCCUGUUAGAAGUCAGGUCCAUGCUAGAAGUCAGAUACCGCAAGGAGAUCGGUUCUCAGCUGACUCCAUGAUGACAGUAUCUGUUACACUAACCAAAAUGCCUGUUUAAUUGGUGCUCAAAAACUAUUUAAAUAAAUAAAUAAAUAAAUAAAUAAAGCCCUGUCUCUAGUUAUAGACAGUUAAGGAAGUUGGCUUUAAAAAG